rnacentral:rRNA from 1 species
CGUCGACGGGUAGCCGGCCUGAGAGGGUGACCGGCCACACUGGGACUGAGACACGGCCCAGACUCCUACGGGAGGCAGCAGUGGGGAAUAUUGCACAAUGGGCGCAAGCCUGAUGCAGCAACGCCGCGUGAGGGAUGACGGCCUUCGGGUUGUAAACCUCUUUUAGCAGGGAAGAAGCGAGAGUGACGGUACCUGCAGAAAAAGCGCCGGCUAACUACGUGCCAGCAGCCGCGGUAAUACGUAGGGCGCAAGCGUUAUCCGGAAUUAUUGGGCGUAAAGAGCUCGUAGGCGGUUUGUCGCGUCUGCUGUGAAAUCCCGAGGCUCAACCUCGGGCCUGCAGUGGGUACGGGCAGACUAGAGUGCGGUAGGGGAGAUUGGAAUUCCUGGUGUAGCGGUGGAAUGCGCAGAUAUCAGGAGGAACACCGAUGGCGAAGGCAGAUCUCUGGGCCGUAACUGACGCUGAGGAGCGAAAGGGUGGGGAGCAAACAGGCUUAGAUACCCUGGUAGUCCACCCCGUAAACGUUGGGAACUAGUUGUGGGGUCCUUUCCACGGAUUCCGUGACGCAGCUAACGCAUUAAGUUCCCCGCCUGGGGAAGUACGGA